GGAAGGAUCAUUAAUGAAUUGUUCGAAUAAUCUAUGCGGACAAAUUCUUUAAAUCCGUAUCCACACCGGCCGGGGGGGUUCAAAUGAUGGACCUUUUCGGCCGUAGGGGGUGUUUCGUUUUCACUCAGGCUCUCUCUGGGGGGCCUGGGCGAAAAGGAGACAUCCCUGUCUGACCUUUGCCUAAAAUUGAUCUUUUUGACUGAAACUUUUUGAUAAAAAUCAAAUCAAAAACAACUUUCAACAACGGAUCUCUUGGCUCUCGCAUCGAUGAAGAACGCAGCGAAAUGCGAUAAGUAAUGUGAAUUGCAGAAUUCAGUGAAUCAUCGAAUCUUUGAACGCACCUUGCGCUCUCUGGUAUUCCGGGGAGCAUGCCUGUUUGAGAAUCGCAAAGCAACACAAAUCACAUUCAUUUUUUUUUGGGUGUGGAGUUGGGCCGAAUUCCUCUUUCUUUUGAAGGAGGAUGGCUUGAAAUCUAGAAGGCCGGCUUGGGUAAAACCAAGCGGAUCAGGACCGAAUUUUUACUCCCAGAGCAAUAAUAGUUAAUGCGUUUUUGCGCGUUAUCCCUUUUUGCCCCGGGGUUGGCCCUGAACUUUUUAGGCCUCACACUUUCUCUCGGCCUAACCGAGAGGGAGGGACUAGAGUAUUUUGACGAGGCUUCCUUUACCGGAGCCUCUGACCUCUUAGAUCUCAAAUCAGGCAAGACUACCCGCUGAACUUAAGCAUAUCAAUAAGCGGAGGAAAAGAAACUAACAAGGAUUCCCCUAGUAACGGCGAGCGAAGCGGGAAUAGCUCAAAUUUAAAAGCUGGCGGGUCACCCCCGUCCGCAUUGUAGUCUAAAGAAGUGUUUUCGGCGGCUGGCCGGGUAUAAAUCCUUUGGAACAGGGUAUCAUAGAGGGUGAGAAUCCCGUCUUUGACCCGGUGCGUGCCGCUAUGUGAUACACUUUCUAAGAGUCGGGUUGUUUGGGAAUGCAGCCCAAAAUGGGUGGUAAAUUUCAUCUAAGGCUAAAUAUUGGCGAGAGACCGAUAGCGAACAAGUACCGUGAGGGAAAGAUGAAAAGAACUUUGAAAAGAGAGUUAAACAGUACGUGAAAUUGUUGAAAGGGAAACGCUUGAAACCAGUCAUGCGGGCGGGAAAUCAGCCAGGCCUUCGGGCCCGGUGCACUUUUCCGCCUGCAGGCCAGCAGCAGUUUUGGCGGCCGGAAAAGGGCCAGGGGAAUGUGACUCCAUCUGGAGUGUUAUAGCCUCUGGUCAAUACGGCGGCCGGGACUGAGGAACGCAGCCAACCCCUUCGGGGGCUGGAUGUCCGCUCGCUGCAUUCUCUCCCGCGGCCCGAAUGCUUGCAUUCUGGUCUCGGGGUGGGGGGCACCCGGGCGAGGCAUCUCACGAUGGCUAAGGUUGCUGGCGUAAUGGUUUUAAACGACCCGUCUUGAAACACGGACCAAGGAGUCUAACAUAUAUGCGAGUGUUUGGGUGGCAAACCCAUGCGCGAAAUGAAAGUGAAUGCAGGUGCCAGCCGCAAGGUGCAGCAUCGACCGACCCUGAUUGUUGAUGGGUUUGAGUAGGAGCAUAUCUGUUGGGACCCGAAAGAUGGUGAACUAUGCCUGAGCAGGGUGAAGCCAGAGGAAACUCUGGUGGAGGCUCGUAGUGGUUCUGACGUGCAAAUCGAUCACUGGACUUGGGUAUAGGGGCGAAAGACUAAUCGAACCAUCUAGUAGCUGGUUCCUGC
rnacentral:misc_RNA from 1 species